rnacentral:rRNA from 1 species
UGGGGAAUAUUGCACAAUGGGGGAAAUCCUGAUGCAGCGACGCCGCGUGGAGGAAGAAGGUCUUCGGAUUGUAAACUCCUGUUGUUGGGGAAGAUAAUGACGGUACCCAACAAGGAAGUGACGGCUAACUACGUGCCAGCAGCCGCGGUAAAACGUAGGUCACAAGCGUUGUCCGGAAUUACUGGGUGUAAAGGGAGCGCAGGCGGGAAGACAAGUUGGAAGUGAAAUCUAUGGGCUCAACCCAUAAACUGCUUUCAAAACUGUUUUUCUUGAGUAGUGCAGAGGUAGGCGGAAUUCCCGGUGUAGCGGUGGAAUGCGUAGAUAUCGGGGAGAACAC